UACGUAGGGGGCAAGCGUUGUCCGGAUUUAUUGGGCGUAAAGAGCGUGUAGGCGGCCAAGCAGGGCUGCUGUGAAAACUCGAGGCUCAACCUCGAGACGUCGGUGGAAACCGUUUGGCUAGAGUCCGGAAGAGGAGAGUGGAAUUCCCGGUGUAGCGGUGAAAUGCGCAGAUAUCGGGAAGAACACCCGUGGCGAAGGCGGCUCUCUGGGACGGUACUGACGCUGAGACGCGAAAGCGUGGGGAGCGAACCGG
rnacentral:rRNA from 1 species